UAGCUCAGUCAGCAGAGCAUGAGACUCUUAAUCUCAGGGUUGUGGGUUCGUGCCCCAU
rnacentral:tRNA from 1 species